rnacentral:rRNA from 1 species
UAGGGAAUCUUCCGCAAUGGACGAAAGUCUGACGGAGCGACGCCGCGUGAGUGAUGAAGGUCUUCGGAUCGUAAAACUCUGUUGUUAGGGAAGAAUAAGUAUAAGGCGAAUAACCUUAUACCUUGACGGUACCUAACCAGAAAGCCCCGGCUAACUACGUGCCAGCAGCCGCGGUAAUACGUAGGGGGCGAGCGUUGUCCGGAAUUAUUGGGCGUAAAGGGUGCGUAGGCGGUCUCUUAAGUCUGAUGUGAAAGCCCACGGCUUAACCGUGGAGGGUCAUUGGAAACUGGGAGACUUGAGUGCAGAAGAGGAGAGUGGAAUUCCAUGUGUAGCGGUGAAAUGCGUAGAGAUAUGGAGGAACACCAGUGGCGAAGGCGACUCUCUGGUCUGUAACUGACGCUGAGGCACGAAAGCGUGGGGAGCAAACA